rnacentral:rRNA from 1 species
UAGGGAAUCUUCGGCAAUGGGGGCAACCCUGACCGAGCAACGCCGCGUGAGUGAAGAAGGUUUUCGGAUCGUAAAGCUCUGGUGUAAGUCAAGAACGAGUGUGAGAGUGGAAAGUUCACACUGUGACGGUAGCUUACCAGAAAGGGACGGCUAACUACGUGCCAGCAGCCGCGGUAAUACGUAGGUCCCGAGCGUUGUCCGGAUUUAUUGGGCGUAAAGCGAGCGCAGGCGGUUUGAUAAGUCUGAAGUUAAAGGCUGUGGCUCAACCAUAGUUCGCUUUGGAAACUGUCAAACUUGAGUGCAGAAGGGGAGAGUGGAAUUCCAUGUGUAGCGGUGAAAUGCGUAGAUAUAUGGAGGAACACCGGUGGCGAAAGCGGCUCUCUGGUCUGUAACUGACGCUGAGGCUCGAAAGCGUGGGGAGCGAACAGGAUUAGAUACCCUGGUAGUCCACGCCGUAAACGAUGAGUGCUAGGUGUUGGAUCCUUUCCGGGAUUCAGUGCCGCAGCUAACGCAUUAAGCACUCCGCCUGGGGAGUACGACCGCAAGGUUG